rnacentral:rRNA from 1 species
AGCAGCCGCGGUAAUUCCAGCUCCAAUAGCGUAUAUUAAAGUUGUUGCAGUUAAAAAGCUCGUAGUUGAAUUUCGGGGUUUAUCCGUUGGUCGGGCUUUUGGGUCUGUACUGGCGUGAUGGAUUCCUACCUUCUGAAUAACCAGCAUGUCAUUAAUUUGGUGCGUUGGGGAAGCAGGACUGUUACCUUGAAAAAAUUAGAGUGCUUAAAGCAGGCUAUUGCCUGAAUACAUUAGCAUGGAAUAAUGAAAUAGGACGUAUGGUUCUAUUUUGUUGGUUUCUAGGAUCACCGUAAUGAUUAAUAGGGAUAGUUGGGGGCAUUAGUAUUCAAUUGUCAGAGGUGAAAUUCUUGGAUUUAUUGAAGACUAACUUCUGCGAAAGCAUUUGCCAAGGAUGUUUUCAUUAAUCAAGAACGAAAGUUAGGGGAUCGAAGACGAUCAGAUACCGUCGUAGUCUUAACCAUAAACUAUGCCGACUAGGGAUCGGACGAUGUUAAAUUUUUUAAUGACUCGUUCGGCGCCU